UUUAAAGUCUAAUCUGCCCAAUGAUAAGUUAAAUGGCCGCGGUAUUUUGACCGUGCAAAGGUAGCAUAAUCAUUAGUUUUUUAAUUGGAAGCUGGUAUGAACGAUUGGACGAGGGAAUGACUGUCUUUAUUUAAUUAGUUUGAAUUUUAUUUUUUAGUAAAAAAGCUAAGAUUUUUUUAAUAGACGAGAAGACCCUAUAGAGUUUUAUAUUUUUUAAUAUAUUUGUUUUGUGGGAGAUUUUUAUUGGUAAUUAUUAUAUAUUUUGUUGGGGCGAUAGAAAAAUUAAUAAAACUUUUUUUAAUAAAAAUCAUUAAUUUAUGUUUUUAUGAUCCAUGUUUUAUGAUUAUAAGAUUAAAUUACCUUAGGGAUAACAGCGUAAUUUUUUUUUAGAGUUCUAAUCGAAAAAAGAGUUUGCGACCUCGAUGUUGGAUUAAAAUAAACUUUUGGUGCAGGGGCUAAAUAGUUAGGUCUGUUCGACCUUUAAAAUUUUACAUGAUCUGAGUUUAGACCGGCGUGAGCCAGGUUGGUUUCUAUCUUUAAAAUUUAUUGGAUAUUUUAGUACGAAAGGAUCAAGUAUUCAUAAUAAUUAUUGUGUUUAGAAUAAAAUUAA
rnacentral:rRNA from 1 species